CCUACGGGGGGCUGCAGUGGGGAAUAUUGGACAAUGGGGGCGACCCUGAUCCAGCCAUGCCGCGUGUGUGAAGAAGGCCCUCGGGUUGUAAAGCACUUUCAGUGAGGAAGAACGCCUGGUGGUUAAUACCCAUCAGGAAAGACAUCACUCACAGAAGAAGCACCGGCUAACUCCGUGCCAGCAGCCGCGGUAAUACGGAGGGUGCGAGCGUUAAUCGGAAUUACUGGGCGUAAAGCGCGCGUAGGUGGCUUGAUAAGCCGGUUGUGAAAGCCCCGGGCUCAACCUGGGAACGGCAUCCGGAACUGUCAAGCUAGAGUGCAGGAGAGGAAGGUAGAAUUCCCGGUGUAGCGGUGAAAUGCGUAGAGAUCGGGAGGAAUACCAGUGGCGAAGGCGGCCUUCUGGACUGACACUGACACUGAGGUGCGAAAGCGUGGGUAGCAAACAGGAUUAGAUACCCUAGUAGUC
rnacentral:rRNA from 1 species